GCGGACGUGGUGUAUGGUGCACCACUGCGCUGCAUAGAAGAGAAGUUAAAGUCUAGUGAUAAAGAGAUGCUCACAUCCCUGCAGUUGGACGGGGCUCGACUCCCCGCGUCCGCA